UUUUUAUAUAUUGCAAAUUUCGUAGUCCAAAUGAAUGUACAACAAACAUCUGUUUUAAAAUAAAUAAUUUUACUGUUGGUUCUAAUAACUUUGUGUGUGUGUGACAGGUGUAAAAGUAUUCAGGAACCCACUUCUUCACGUAUUAUGUGCGGUAGAGAACUGAGUAGCAGCUGAAAAAAAUAGGAAAUUAAUAAUAAAUAAUAUUAUAAAAUAAAAGAAAGAGAAAGAAUUAUUUUCAUUUUAUUGAGACCUGAUGAAACAAAUAAACAACAAAGUUAUACCCCGAACGGUCUAGUUUAAAGUGAAACCUCAUAAUCGUAUCGGAUAACUAAUGUUAAAUGCCAUUUUAUAUGCAGGAAUUAAAAUCGCAGUGGUUUUAUGUCCUGGGAAUUAUUAAUUAUUUAAUAGAAUUUCUUAGCAGCCUACACGGUCGGGCCAUUUGAAUAAUGAAGCUAUUCCGAAUACUAAAAUAAGCAAUACAUAGUUACAUUUAGUGUUGUCGUUGCAGAUAUUAUUUGUGCAUUCGUCGUUAUUUACGACCGUUUUCAAUAACGCCGCAGUAUAUUAGCGAAAUGGUGCUUUAGCUGUGCCACUAAGGCCUUAUAGCGUCCGAUAAAAUAGCGAACCGGAUGAUUAUGUGGCAAAAGCAUGACACAUUUAUGUUCAUUCGCGAGACUUUUCAUUUAUGACUAUUUAUUAUGGGUGUAUUUUAAGGAAAGCCGUCCCGAAGUGAACGGAAUUAACUGAUGCUUUUAGAAGUAGUCACUAUCAUUUUAUUAAAGGAAGCUCUAGUAGCAAAGCCACUAUUUUUAUUAUCUAAUAAUUUACUAUUAUUUUUUAAGGGAGACCAGGAAUAGGAAAUAACUUGAAUCCAAAUUGUCUACUAAUGCAGGAUAAUGCACAACCACAUACAGACCAUGUCCUCCGAAAUUAUCUUGCUGACGUUAGGAUUAAUGCUAGUGCCUGGUCAGCUCACAGUACAGACCUUAAAUCAAUAGAACAUAUCUGAGACAUCAUUAGGAGACGUUUAAGGGCAUAUAAAAGAAGAUGUGGAGCGUUUUCUACACCAAAUUUGAGAGAAUUUGUUCAGAAAUGAAGUUUGAACUCAGAUUUUGAGUAUGAACAGAAGAUGUGAGGCUGUCAUUCGUAGUAGAGGUGGAAAUACCCCAUAUUAUUAUCGAUAAAAACUUAUUUUUAAAUAAAUAUACAAAGAGUG